CUCUUGCUCUCGCUCUCUGUCUCUCUGUAUUCUCUCGCUCUCUCUCUCUGUCUCUCUGUAUUCUCUCGUUCUCGCUCUCUGUCUCUCUGUAUUCUCUCGCUCUCUCUUGCUCUCGCUCUCUGUCUCUCUGUAUUCUCUCGCUCUCUCUUGCUCUCGCCCUCUGUCUCUCUGUAUUCUCUCGUUCUCGCUCUCUGUCUCUCUGUAUUCUCUCGCUCUCUCUUGCUCUCUCUCUCUGUCUCUCUGUGUUCUCUCUCUCCUGCUCCCCCCCCUCUCUCUCCAUCACAAACACGUGCCUUUCUGGUAAAACCAGGGAACAAAGCGGCCACUGACCUCCCACUCCAGCACUCUGUGCUGUUGUCUCCGUGUGUCACCAGCUGUCUUCUCCUCUGUUUGUUGCUUUCAGUUGGGGCUUCACCGUCUACACGGAGAAGCAGCAUUGGUGAGUGCUCCUCCAAAGGCCUUCUGAUUGAAUUAUUGAUUAGUCGGCCUUCUGCCCGCUCUUUAGAAAAUACCACUCCGCCAGAAAUACUCCAAGAGGAAGCAGACUCACGCUACCUGUACUUCUGCUGUGAGGAGAAGGAGAGCCAGGUUAGCUGGGUCAACGCCAUCAUACGGAUGAAGUUUGGCAGUGAUUUCUGGUCCAAACCGGUUCCCCCUCCCAAGACGGGUCCUGCAGCCCCCCCCCCUGCACUGAAGCCGGUGAGUCCUUCACUAGGAUCUACCGACAGUAACACUGUUUACUGUUUACAGUGACACUAAUAAACCUUGGAGUGUACCUAAACCUCUCCAUUCAUGUUUACAGUAACACUGUUUACAGCAACAUGUUUACAGUGACACUGUUUACAUUGACACUAUUAAACCUUGGAGUGUACCUAAACCUCUCCAUUCAUGUUUACAGUAACACUGUUUACAGCAACAUGUUUACAGUAACA
ensembl:lncRNA